rnacentral:rRNA from 1 species
ACUCAAAUGAAUUGACGGGGACCCGCACAAGCGGUGGAGCAUGUGGUUUAAUUCGACGGUAAGCGAGGAACCUUACCAAGGCUUGACAUGUAGCUGCAAGCGCACGGAAACGUGUGACCUUCGAGGGUGCUACACAGGUGCUGCACGGUUGUCGUCAGCUCGUGUCGUGAGAUGUUCCCUUAAGUGGGAGAACGAGCGCAACCCGCAUGUUAUGUUGAUUUUCAUAACAGACUGCCAGCGUUUAAGCUGGAGGAAGGUGCGGAUGACGUCAAAUCAGCGUGGCUCUUACGCCUUGGGCGACACACGUGCUACAAUGGAUAGGUACAAUGGGACGCAAUACCGUAAGGUGGAGCAAAUCCUCUCAAAAACUAUCCUCAGUUCAGAUUGAGGGCUGCAACUCGCCCUCAUGAAGCUGGAAUCGCUAGUAACCGCAAAUCAGCCUCGUUGCGGUGAAUACGUUCUCGGGUUUUGUACACACCGCCCGU